AAGGCAGGCAGCGCAGUUACAGUCGCGAAAGCUCGGGUGCUGUCCAGGAGGAGCCGGCCCGGCCCGGGCUGCGGCCAUGAUUAAGCAAUUCCUAGAGGGCACAGAAGAGGCAGAGCUGGCUGUGUUUGUAAAAGAGUUCCCUGGGGGUGAUGUCUCCCAUCCUGAGGCAAUCUGCCCUCCCCAACUACGCCUCCCCGCUAUCCUGGAUCCCUUUGAAGAGUGUGAGACCAAGGAGUCCAGGGCCUCCUCUCGGAUGCAGUCAGAAAACCAGGCUCACCUCUGCAUCUCUUCCUCAAGCAUGCUCAGCACCUCAAGCAGGCCUCGAAGCCCCUGGGGCAGGCUGGACCCUUAUGACUCCUCUGAGGAUGAUAAGGAGUAUGUGGGGUUUGCCACUCUCCCCAAUCAGGUUCAUCGAAAGUCUAUGAAAAAGGGCUUUGACUUCACCCUCAUGGUGGCAGGAGAGUCUGGGCUGGGCAAAAGCACCCUUAUCAACAGCCUCUUCCUCACUGACAUGUACCGGGACCGAAGAUUAUUGAAUUCUGAAGAACGGAUCAUGCAAACAGUGGAGAUCACUAAACAUACCAUGGACAUCGAGGAGAAAGGUGUCAAGCUGAAGCUCACGGUCGUGGACACACCAGGUUUUGGAGAUGCUGUGAACAACACUGAGUGCUGGAAGCCAGUGGCAGAUUACAUUGACCAGCAGUUUGAACAGUAUUUCCGGGAUGAGAGCGGCCUCAACCGUAAGAACAUUCAGGAUAACAGGGUGCACUGCUGCCUCUACUUCAUCUCUCCCUUUGGCCAUGGGCUCCGACCCUUAGAUGUAGAGUUCAUGAGGGCCCUGCAUCACCGAGUCAACAUUGUGCCCAUCUUGGCCAAGGCUGACACGCUGACACCCAAUGAAGUGGAGCACAAGAAACGAAAGAUUCGAGAGGAAAUUGAGCACUUUGGAAUCCAGAUCUACCAAUUCCCAGCUUGUGACUCCGAUGAAGAUGAGGAAUUCAAGUUACAGGACCAGGCCUUGAAGGACAGUAUCCCUUUUGCUGUCAUUGGCAGCAACACCGUGGUGGAGGCCAAAGGGCGGCGUGUUCGGGGACGGCUCUAUCCCUGGGGUAUCGUAGAAGUGGAAAAUCCUGGGCAUUGCGACUUUGUGAAGCUGAGGACCAUGCUGGUACGCACCCAUAUGCAGGAUCUUAAGGAUGUGACAAGGGAAAUACAUUAUGAGAACUAUCGAGCACAAUGCAUCCAGAGCAUGACUCGAAUGGUGGUGAAGGAAAGAAAUCGCAAGUAUGGCCAGGAAGGGGGCCUGGGGGGAGGGCAGAUGGGACGGGAAGAGACAACCCCAGGAGCCCAAGCAGAGCUGCUGGCAGGUGUGGAUGGGAGCAGGCCCUCCACUCCUGCUCCUUCAGGCCUUAGGGCCGAAUCCAGGCAGGGGCCUGGGGUCUCCUUGCCCUCAUUGGCACCCAUUUCCCCUGACCUCUCAGCAAGCUGACUCGGGAGAGUGUUACUGACUGCACCAUCCCAGCAUUCCUGUCUGGGAUUGACGUAGAGACUGAGAAGCUGCUCCGGGAGAAAGAUGAGGAGUUGCGAAGGAUGCAGGAGAUGCUGUAUAAAGUUCAGAGACAGAAGAAGGAGAAGAACUAGUUAGUUCCCUUGCCUUGGAUGUAUGUCUCCUCCUCUUUCUCCUGGUCCUUCCCAGCUCUUGAUCUGCUCUGGCCCCUCAAGCUACUGCCACUUCGCCUUAUGUCCCUGCUGCCUCCCUAGAGACUCAAAAGAAAUAAAGUGUUAAUGAAUCGG